rnacentral:rRNA from 1 species
AAAAAUGACUCUCGGCAACGGAUAUCUCGGCUCUUGCAUCGAUGAAGAACGUAGCGAAAUGCGAUACUUGGUGUGAAUUGCAGAAUCCCGUGAACCAUCGAGUCUUUGAACGCAAGUUGCGCCCGAAGCCAUUAGGCUGAGGGCACGCCUGCCUGGGUGUCACA